rnacentral:lncRNA from 1 species
UAUAAGUUUCGGGUCGGCGGAUGCGCGUGACUCGGUAUGGUCCUUCCCAGUUUAGGGCCAGCUUUCCUUGCUCAGUUGGUCGGGAGGCUUCAGCUUUUCUGAGGACAAGGUCCCCUGGUCUGAAAGAUUUGACUUUGAUCCUGGCGUUGUAGUACUGAGCUGUCCUUUGCUGAUACCUCGCCAUACGAAUUCGGGCGGCCUCCCUUGUUUCCUCGACUAAGUCAGGGUUACUUCUGAGCUGCAAAGAGUUGGAGCUGGCGUCGUGAUGCUCGACUCUUGGAGAAGGA